GGGGAGAUGGCCGAGCUUGGUUAUGGCGUCAGGUUAAGGCAUUUGAGUCUUAGCACUUUAAGUAUCUCGGCAUCUGUUGAGAUAGACGUUUCCUGAUGGGAGUAAUCCCGCGUGGGUUCGAAUCCCACUCUCCUCA
rfam:Capronia semiimmersa strain CBS 27337 unplaced genomic scaffold supercont1.5, whole genome shotgun sequence.